GUGCUUGGUUCAGCAGCACAUAUACUAACAUUGGAAUGAUACAGAGAAGAUUAUCAUGGCCCCUGCGCAAGGAUGACAUGCAAAUUCAUGAAGCAUUCCAUAUUUCU
rnacentral:snRNA from 1 species